UAGCUCAGUUGGUUAGAGUGUCGGCCUGUCACGCCGAAGGUCGCGGGUUCGAGUCCCGU
rnacentral:tRNA from 1 species